AUGAAGGAGCUGAAGGAUGCAAUGGAGGCAACACAAACGCCACAAAUGGAUGGCUUAGGAAGGACUGCAAUUAAGGCGAAAUUUCCAACAUUUAGCAAUGAAAAUAUCAAAGAAAAAGUUGGAGCAACACAUGGUAAAGUAAAAAUGGUAGAAUUGGGCGUAAGAGGGUUAAGACAUGCGAGGAUAAGACCAAUACAAGCCUCUAGAAGAGUUGAUCCAGAGGAUGCUACCCCUAUAAUUCAAGGCAGACUAAGAAAGACUCCAGCUGAAACCAUUGAAACUAAUUUAGAUCAAAAUAGCUUCUUGGAAGAUUUGUUAUUUGACAAUACACAUAAAUAA